CCACAAAAUGCGGCAGGAUUUUUGCUGUCAUGUGAGCCGCAUUCUGUUUAUUGUGUUGCAGAGCUGACGUGAACUCGGACUUGGCGCUGCUAUCCACAACCGGACACGACUACAACUUGUAGACAUGACGCACCUGAACGGACAACAUGACGAGGCUCUUCUUCUUACCUCUACCGGUGUUCUGCAACAUUCGCACACGGCUGCCUCAUCUUUCAACAGCAUUCCAGCAAAUGCGCAUCAAUGAAGCCAGCGGCCAGAAAAGUCGUCACCGCAAAAAAAAGCUCCGUGGCGAGGAAGUCUGACCGUGUCAUGGAGAGAACAAGACCCCCUCCUCCAUCCCCCAGCAGACCGCGUUUGCAUCACCGCUUGGCUGUGGCCAAAGCUUUUUAUUUGCCUCAGCACCCCACCCCACCCCCUUCCAAACCCUGCAGCCACCCAAAGGCGCAAACUGUGAGGGCGAGGACGUGCGUGUCUCUCCCCCCUCCGCAGCGGGUGGAGAGGGAAAAAAACUAAUUCUAACUCACCGGGAAAGUCCAUGGCGGUGUCCGCAUCGCUCACCUCGCCCUCGGCCCGUUAAUUGGAAACGAGGCUCUUCGAAGGAUCCUCGCCACUUAUCCGGGAGCAAUUCAGCGGGAGCUG